AACUCACGUUUUCAUUAAUUCUUUUUUCUUUUGCCUCAACUCACGGCGUUAUAAAUACUACAGCCCUGUGCACGGAUAUAUACACAAGCAAGACUAUGUAGAAAGCUAACCAACUAGUAGGACCUAUCCUAAACUAGUACUAUCCAGCCUACUUUUGGGAAUAUGAUGCAUCGUGAAAGAAACCAAAGUUUCGCUUUGGGCCUAGUGGCGGUCCAUCUCGAAGAUGUUCACCGUAGGUUACUGAAGCAGAGGAGCGACUGCAUUGGUAUGAUCUCCAAGAUGUUCACCAGAUUCCUUCUCCUCAUACAGUGGUAAAUCUUUUUGAGCCGGUCAUCACGGAGGAGAUGAAUGCCAAGUUAUAUGAAGCUUUCUCGGACAAGGAAAUUAGUGAUGCUCUUUUCCAAAUGGGCCCUCUAAAGGCCCCAGGCCCGGACGGUUUUCCGGCGAGGUUUUUCCAACGGCAUUGGGGUAUGAUGAAAGAUGACAUUAUUGAGGCAGUCAGGCAGUUUUUCAGCUCGGGGUGAUGCCAGAGGGCGUCAAUAACACCACCAUUGUGCUCAUUCCAAAGGUGGAUAACCCCCAACGCUUAUCAGAGUUCCGGCCCAUCAGUCUCUGUAACGUGAUAUACAAGAUCAUAUCAAAAUGCUUGGUCAACCGUUCGAGACCUAUACUCGGGGACAUCAUCUCCGAGGAGCAGAGCUCGUUUGUGACUGGCAGACUCAUAACAGAUAAUGCUUUUAUUGCCUUUGAGUGUACUCACUAUAUUAAACAUGAGAAGGACCCUGAUCGAGCGUUUUGUGCUUAUAAGGUGGACCUUUCUAAGGCGUAUGAUCGGGUAGAUUGCACUUUCUUGGAGUAAAUGAUGAGAAGGCUGGGUUUUGCGGA